UACAGAGGGUGCGAGCGUUAAUCGGAAUUACUGGGCGUAAAGCGCGCGUAGGUGGCAAAUUAAGUCGGAUGUGAAAUCCCCGAGCUCAACUUGGGAAUUGCAUCCGAUACUGGUUAGCUAGAGUAUGAGAGAGGAAGGUAGAAUUCCAGGUGUAGCGGUGAAAUGCGUAGAGAUCUGGAGGAAUACCGAUGGCGAAGGCAGCCUUCUGGCUUAAUACUGACGCUGAGGUGCGAAAGCAUGGGGAGCAAACAGG
rnacentral:rRNA from 1 species